rnacentral:lncRNA from 14 species
GGAUGCCUGAGGCUGCUCCGGAGCAUCUUUUCCCUGCGGGUAUUACUCUUUCCAUAAACCCUUCCACUUUCCAGCAUUUGUGUUGUGAUAAUCUCUCCUAGCAUUUCUUGCAAUGCUUCAUUUUAAUAUACAUUCCCUUGUCACUGCAGAACUGGAUUCAGCCUCCAGGUAAAUGCUAUCUAAAUCACUGCUGCAAGGGGAGAAUGAAAUAUAGGUGUGUGAGAGGAGGCAAAGGAGAGGAGUGAAUAAGAACACCUCACAGAGCGAGAAGAAAUCCCUGCAAUGCUUUGGUGUCCUCAGAGCACAGACAUCCCUCAGAGCUGGGACCACCACUACAGAGCAUCCUUUUAAGGCAGACUGGGGACGAGGGAAGCAAAGCGGCAUCCGAGUGACCCAGGCCACAGAGGGAGAUGGCAACGGGUCAAGUGAGCGCUGACGUUGCCUGGUAAUAAAGGGGAGGACGAAGCAGGGUCCCGACGAGGU